UACAGUUUGAUCCUGGCUCAGAUUGAACGCUGGCGGCAUGCUUUACACAUGCAAGUCGAACGGCAGCACGGGGGCAACNNNNGUGGCGAGUGGCGAACGGGUGAGUACAACAUCGGAACGUGCCCUGUCGUGGGGGAUAGCCCGGCGAAAGCCGGAUUAAUACCGCAUACGACCUCAGGGUGAAAGCGGGGGACCGCAAGGCCUCGCGCGAUAGGAGCGGCCGAUGCCCGAUUAGCUUGUUGGUGAGGUAAUGGCUCACCAAGGCGACGAUCGGUAGCUGGUCUGAGAGGACGACCAGCCACACUGGGACUGAGACACGGCCCAGACUCCUACGGGAGGCAGCAGUGGGGAAUUUUGGACAAUGGGCGCAAGCCUGAUCCAGCCAUGCCGCGUGCGGGAAGAAGGCCUUCGGGUUGUAAACCGCUUUUGGCACGAACGAAACGGCGCUAGCUAAUAUCUAGCGUUAAUGACGGUACCUGCAGAAUAAGCACCGGCUAACUACGUGCCANNNGCCGCGGUAAUACGUAGGGUGCAAGCGUUAAUCGGAAUUACUGGGCGUAAAGCGUACGCAGGCGGCUAUACAAGACAGGUGUGAAAUCCCCNGGNUUAACCUGGGAACUGCAUUUGUGACUGUAUGG
rnacentral:rRNA from 1 species